rnacentral:rRNA from 1 species
AGAGUUUGAUCCUGGCUCAGAACGAACGCUGGCGGCAUGCCUAACACAUGCAAGUCGAACGAUGCUUUCGGGCAUAGUGGCGCACGGGUGCGUAACGCGUGGGAAUCUGCCCUUAGGUUCGGAAUAACAGUUAGAAAUGACUGCUAAUACCGGAUGAUGUCGAUAAGACCAAAGAUUUAUCGCCUGAGGAUGAGCCCGCGUAGGAUUAGCUAGUUGGUGUGGUAAAGGCGCACCAAGGCGACGAUCCUUAGCUGGUCUGAGAGGAUGAUCAGCCACACUGGGACUGAGACACGGCCCAGACUCCUACGGGAGGCAGCAGUGGGGAAUAUUGGACAAUGGGCGCAAGCCUGAUCCAGCAAUGCCGCGUGAGUGAUGAAGGCCUUAGGGUUGUAAAGCUCUUUUACCCGGGAUGAUAAUGACAGUACCGGGAGAAUAAGCCCCGGCUAACUCCGUGCCAGCAGCCGCGGUAAUACGGAGGGGGCUAGCGUUGUUCGGAAUUACUGGGCGUAAAGCGCACGUAGGCGGCUUUGUAAGU